rnacentral:rRNA from 1 species
UAGCCUUUAGCGACACAAGUAUUAAAGGUCCUGCCUGCCCAGUGAAACUUCUUUUUCAACGGCCGCGGUAUUCUAACCGUGCAAAGGUAGCGUAAUCACUUGUCUUCCAAAUAAAGACCGGUAUGAACGGCUAAAUGAGGACAGAUCUGUCUCCUACACCCAAUCAGUGAAACUGAUCUCCCAGUCCAAAAGCUGGAAUAUUAACAUUAGACGAGAAGACCCUGUGGAGCUUAAAACUCACCCAGUAACUAACAACUGACCCAAGUUUUAAGUUGGGGCGACUUCGGAACAAAACAAAACUUCCGAGAACAGAACCACCAAUUCCUACCAAGGCAAACAGGCCAAAGCAAACAACUGACCCAGUAAAACUGAUCAACGAACCAAGUUACCCCAGGGAUAACAGCGCCAUCCUCUUCAAGAGUCCAUAUCGACAAGAGGGUUUACGACCUCGAUGUUGGAUCAGGGCACCCAAAUGGUGCAGCCGCUAUUAAAGGUUCGUUUGUUCAACGAUUAACAGCC